rnacentral:rRNA from 1 species
AGGACGAACGCUGGCGGCGUGCUUAACACAUGCAAGUCGAGCGGAAAGGCCCUUCGGGGUACUCGAGCGGCGAACGGGUGAGUAACACGUGAGCAACCUGCCCUUAGCUUCGGGAUAGCUCCGGGAAACCGGAAUUAAUACCGGAUAUGACUAUGGCCGACAUCAGCCAUGGUGGAAAGUUUUUCGGCUAGGGAUGGACUCGCGGCCUAUCAGCUAGUUGGUGAGGUAACGGCUCACCAAGGCGACGACGGGUAGCCGGGCCUGAGAGGGCGACCGGCCACACUGGGACUGAGACACGGCCCAGACUCCUACGGGAGGCAGCAGUGGGGAAUAUUGCGCAAUGGGCGAAAGCCUGACGCAGCGACGCCGCGUGGGGGAUGAAUGCCUUCGGGUUGUAAACCCCUUUCAGCAGGGACGAAGCGAAAGUGACGGUACCUGCAGAAGAAGCGCCGGCUAACACGUGCCAGCAGCCGC